UCUCAGUGACAGGGAAUACAUCAGAAGUCGGUUAUUUACAGUCGUUUUUCUACUUAAAACAUCGGCCUUUGUGUAAAUUCAAGCCUUGAUUGGAUGUUGUAAAUUGAGUCUUCCAAGUGGAUGCAGCUGUAAACAACUUGGAAUCUUAGAAGGUCUGUGUGCGGGUCAUGUUGUCCUCAGCCGAGGACUGACCUCACGUUGAACCCCCUUGGAGAUACUAGUGGAGAUACUAGUGGAGACACCAGAGGGCUGAAAACAUACAGGUGAAACUUAAUCCUCCAGAUAUGGCAGCGCCUGUGAGAUACCCUUGGUGGAGAGCAUUUGUGACAAGGAAGAGUAUUCCAACAACCCAAGAAUCUGGUGAGACCCAACCUUCUGGGGAGAAGAUGUCUCCUAUCUCCUCCAAAUCUACACCGGACUCAAAGGGAAACGAAACAUUUCCAGAUGCAGAAACCUUCGACGAUGCAGAGUUUGAGCCAAUGUUCAAUGAGAAAACUUGUAGACGGAAUCUCAAAGUGUCACGUUCUGGACGUUUUAAGGAGAACAGAAGAGUACGGGGGACCAUACCUGACAAUAACAACUUCAGUGGAAGUGUUGCUGCGACUGCUGUUGCUAAGUAGGCCAGGCUAUAUCAUGAUCAUUCUACCUGCCAGACUGCAGCCUGUUAUGGAGCAUGGAGCAAUGGUGAUGCAAUUUGAAUACAUUUUGAGGCAUUUUUUAAAGAUAUAACUUUCAUAAAUGUUCAUCAAUUGUGCCUAUCACCAGGUUAAUAUAUUAGGUAUACACCUAAUUCAUAAUAUGUUUAGGCCAAUGAAGGAUGGAUACGGAAUAGUUAUGAAGUAUCAAAUAAUUGUAAAGAAUGAUUUCAUAAUCAUUUUGUAGUGAAUUCAGGAAGUAGGCCCGUCCGGGACUCAAACCAGGGUCCGGUAACUGUCAAGCCAAGACUUUAAUGGUAACGCCAAGAGGUCUGGGUUAAGGUUACUAUAUUACCACCUUCCUUCAGGAGAGUGUCCCCACACUUCUCUAUACCAAGUCUCUCUCAUGUGUACACGCCUCUCCGAUGGCCUCACGGGUACCAUCCCAAUUCACUAGGUGUGGGUUAAGGUCUCCUACAAUAUCGAUUUUCAAGUAUGUUUUCAUAUUUCAUACACACACAGCCUAAAGCACAUGGUAUCUAAUGUUACAAAUAUAUCCAGCCAGGGUCAAUUACUUAUUUUGUAAUUUGUUUGAAUAGCUUUUUGUGUGUUUGUUUUCUUGACAUGAAGGACUUGUGGUGGUUUGAUAUGAAGAACAUGAAGGACUUGAGGUGGUUUGAUAUGAAGAACAUGAAGGACUUGAGGUUGUUUGAUAUGAAGCACUUGAGGUGGUUUGAUAUGAAGGACUUGAGGUGGUUUGAUAUGAAGGACAAUAGGUGGUUUGAUAUGAAGGACAAUAGGUGGUUUGAUAUGAAAUACAUGAGGUGGUUUGAUAUGAAGGACAAUAGGUGGUUUGAUAUGAAGGACAAGAGGUGGUUUGAUAUGAAGGACAUGAGGUGGUUUGAUAUGAAGGACAAGAGGUGGUUUGAUAUGAAGGACAAGAGGUGGUUUGAUAUGAAGGACAUAAGGUGGUUUGAUAUGAAGCCCAAGAGGUGGUUUGAUAUGAAGGACAUGAGGUGGUUUGAUAUGAAGGACAAGAGGUGGUUUGAUAUGAAGGACUCACAUACAACCAAACUUUAUUUAGAUCAUGCUGGAUUAAUCUGAUUCUGUUCAUACUGUACUAGGCUACCUAAGGUCUAGUAUGCACUAAUGCAGUGGUUCCCAACCAUUCUUUUGUUACUGUACCACCAACUGAAUUUUGCUCUGCCUGGAGUACCCCUGAAGUACCCCCUCGUGUAUUUUACCAGUAGGGCUAUGGGCUCAUGAGUCUUCUCAAGUACCCCUGUGGAUAGACCAGGUACCCCCAGGGGUCCUAGUACCACUGGUUGGGAACCACUGCAGUAAUGAACUCUUAAAGUGGAUGUGAAUGAAGGAUAUGCCAGCAUGUACAUUAGCUAGUGUUGAGAUUUUAAGAUACUAUUUUAAAUGUAAAAAGAAAAAAAAAAAACAUCUGCAUUUUGUACUGCAAUGUACGUACUCGCACGCACACUCACUCAGGAAUUACAUACGACGUUAAUACACCUUUGUUACAUAUUUAUUGUGGAUAAUAUAUUUACUAUUUAGUCACGAUCUCAACAUCUCUGUUUUGAAUGGACAAUGCCUACUGGCAUCAUUGUUUACAGUCUGCUAAAAGUUUACUUCAGAGAUGUAUAUGAAGAAAAAACAUCUACAAUAUUGUAAAUAAAUGUGUAAAUAUGUAAUUUGGUUUACUUUGUGUUUUAUUUUCACUUAACAAUAACAGAUAUGGUGAAGAAAGCUAAAUACAUCUAAAAUGUUAAAUACAUCUUAAAUAAAAUAAAAUGUUAUUGGUCAC
rnacentral:lncRNA from 1 species